rnacentral:lncRNA from 1 species
AAGCCAUGCAAUAGGACUGCAUCUGUCCCAUGAACACUCAUGAGCUUGAACCGUGAGGUUCAUUUAUCUGUACCUGUGUCCAGAGGUGGCUUGUUGGGAACACUAGAAAAGACUUCAGGGGGAAAAAAAAAUCAGUUAACUUGCUUUUGAUGGGUAUUUUGACAAAUCUCUUAAAUUCCUGUCCCCUUCAAGUCCUGCUCCAGGAAGGAGCAAAGCAGUCUUCACUUUGCAGCUGGUUGCAAAAGGCCUCUGGGCUUUUUGCAGCAAGGCCUCUUCCUCUUGAUACCUAGUGAAGCUUGAAUCAGGAAGCCCUGGCUCUGUGUGGCAAAACUGCCUGUACUUAACCUGGAGGAUCUGUCAGGUUAUCAAGCUGUCAGAUGUAGCUUAGAGAUGGAUAGUUAAACAUCUAAACAGUUGUGCUCAAAAAUUUCUGGUGCUCUGGGGUUGCUUGAGAAUUUGAAGGAUAAGUGUGAAUGGUGCAGAGAAUGGGGGGCUUGUGACAGAAGGCUUUGUCAGGGUUCAAAAUCACCUGUAACAUGAUGUUAUUCCACAGGGUCAGGAAAAAGUGUCCGCAGUAUGAAGAGAAAGAAGAAAGGAAAAAACUUCGGCAAGAAAACAGAAAUGGACAUGUUGGUGUGUAAAUGAGGAAAAAGCAGGGCCAGUGUGAUGAUUUGGAGACCCGACUGCGAACCGAAACAUGACUUAAGCUGAGAGCCCGAUACCAUGUGUGAGGAGCAAUCUUCGACCUCAGUGGGCCUGCCUGUUCUUUUCUGGAGGCUGGUUUCCACCAGGAGGUGCAAGUCGGCAUUACCCACACACCAAGCGUUUGGCUCUGCUCCACGUCCUGCGUGAGAGGGACCAUUAAAGAAGAACAGAGGGUGAAAUUCCACCCAAGUCAUUUUCGUUCUUCCAGCCCCAAAUUCCCACACUGCUCUGACAAGGAGAGUCCCCCAGACAGCCAUCCCACCUUGUCCUCAUGUUGCUGCUGGCUCCUCAGGCACAUGCUGCCUUCCUGGGAGAAUGCUGCAGCUCCUUCCCAAGCCCCCACGUGCUGUGUCUGCACCUCCAGCCAGACCAUCUUGGCUAGUGUCUGGAUGAACUUCACAGAAAUAAACAGGAUUUGA